UCUUUAUAGUUUGCCUUUCAAUUGCAUCCAUAUCAUCAUUUUAUUUAUCUAACACCAUGUAAAUUUUUGUUUUAUGUAAAAUUUAGCAGUGCAUCAGAAUUCUUCAUAUAAAACAUUUUUUGAUACCCCAUUACCCAUUGUUUAAUAUUAUAGUGGUUACAGACAAUAAAUAAUUAUUUCUGAAUUAUCAUUGCAGAGGUAUCAGAAACCCCUAUUAUUCUGAUAGUAUCUUCAGCAAAGAUGAAGAUGUUCAAGCUCAUGUUGGUACUAUUCAGAGCUUGAAAACUAAGAGUAAGCACACGUGUGGAGUGUCUACAUGGAAAGCUGCUCAAAAUAAGCUUCUUUCAUUCCAAAGUUUGGAUGAAACAGGAAUCAGCAUGGCCUCCUGUCGACAUGGUAUUAUCCUUAACACCUUGAAUAUGUAUCAAGGAGAGCUGUACAGUUAUGCCCACUAUUUGCAAAUUAUGUAUUUCAAAUACGUAAAGUUUAUUUGUCAAGACAUAAUUUGCAAAUAUUGGCCAUGGCCUUAACUGUGGCUCAGAAACAAUCACAUUUUCACAUUGGUCAAGCAAAGCCAUUUUUAGGAGUCCUACAUGCAAAAGGACAUGCUUGGUAUUGUCAGGUAUUGUAUGGAGGGCGGUGGGAAGAAGGAAGUGGCAUGACUUUAGGGGAAGAGGCAGAGCAAGUGUUUGCAUACCUCUCACGAUACAACUCUACAACUAAAAACAUGCUGAAAGCUG